rnacentral:rRNA from 1 species
AUGAACGCUAGCGGCAGGCCUAAUACAUGCAAGUCGGACGGGAUUGGAGAGCUUGCUUUCCAUGAGAGUGGCGCACGGGUGCGUAACACGUAUGUAACCUACCUUGUUCAGGGGGAUAGCCUCUCGAAAGAGAGAUUAAGACCGCAUAACAUUAUUGAAUGGCAUCGUUUAAUAAUCAAAUAUUUAUAGGAACAAGAUGGGCAUGCGGAACAUUAGCUAGUUGGUAAGGUAACGGCUUACCAAGGCUACGAUGUUUAGGGG